UACGUAGGGGCCGAGCGUUGUCCGGAGUUAUUGGGCGUAAAGCGCGCGCAGGCGGCCUCGCGCGCCCGACGUGAAAUCCCUCGGCUUAACCGAGGAACUGCCGUCCAAACUGCUUCGCUUGAGACCGGGAGAGGUGAGUGGAAUUCCCAGUGUAGCGGUGAAAUGCGUAGAUAUUGGGAGGAACACCAGUGGCGAAGGCGGACUCACUGGACCGGUACUGACGCUGAUGCGCGAAAGCGUGGGGAGCAAACGGGG
rnacentral:rRNA from 1 species